rnacentral:lncRNA from 1 species
UUGGAGGCACUGAACAAAUGUUUACUGAAUCGGAUCCAAAAGUCCCUCCCAGUCCUAGUAUCCUAGGCUUCCAAGUUUCUCUCUGACUUUGACCUUGGGGAACCCCACCCUUGUCAUCGGGGCCUGAUGUGGCCUCUCUGGUACCUGCACAAGCAGGGAAGAGCUGGAAGCAGAGCCCCUUGGGGACCCAUGACCAUGACUUCCCUGCGAUGCCCAUUGGUCCCUUGGGAAGACAACUGCCAGCUCUUUCCUACCCGGCCAUUCUAAUGACAAUAACCCUCGCUCUGAACUUGAGACGGUAGAUAUUUGAAAAUCCUUAAAUAGAGCCGAUCCUCUCUUUACAAAGUACAUACGCGCCAUCGUACCGCAAUUGACCAUCACAUGGAACUUUAUGAGCCAGGCAGGCAGAUACCACGCCCUGCUAUCGCGCAGACGAAACUGAAACUCUGGGAGGGAAAGUGAGCCGCUGAGGGUCACGCAGCUAAUUAGUGGGCCAGAUCCGGGUCUCCUGCCAUUGGUCCGGUUCUCCCCCCACCCGUGGCACCCUGGGUUGUCUGCCCAGAGCAGGCCCCCCGGGGAGAGGACAGGGCGGAGUGGUGUGUGCUUGUACUCUGCUCCGGGUUCACUUUCAAGUGCAAACACCUGCUGCGUGUUGCCUCUGUCAGGCUCUGUGCUUGGCCCCAGGGACACACCGACCUUCGGCGGGGGUGGUGUUUUGAGGCUUGAGAUGGCAGGGAGAUACCCGCAGAGGAAUGCGGCUAUUUCCCACCCCUGCCAGACGCUGCCCUGUGCCAGCCCUGCGGUAAUGCACUUAACCUUUGAAACCGCAUCUCAUCUGCUGCCCCUGCUGUCUUGCGGUGUCUGGGUCUCCCUCUGCCAAGGGGACAGCCUAUGAAAGGCUCAGCCUCCUCCUUCAUUAGCCUCCAGAACCUGAGGCCGAAUCCUGGCUGUGCUCCGUUGCAGCCGAAGUUGCCUUUUCAGAUUUCCUACUCUCAUCCUCGGGAUGUUUCUCACUCACCCCCUCCAGUCCCGGCUGGGUGUCGAGUGUCUGUCGCCCCUCAGAAGGACGCUCCCUAAAAUGCCCAGCCUCCAAUCCAGGAGAGAGUCUCACGGUACCCACAGCCGGAUCCUGCAGCUGGCCCCCAGUGCCAGCUCCUCCGAUGGCAGGCUUUUGUAAGCGCCCAGUCCAUGCACAAGCCGAGGAUCUUGGGGAUUUUCAAGUGCUGUUCUCUGCGCUUGGAGUCCCAGGCGGGCUCCCCCUCCCCAGCACCUUCCCCCAACCUCUAGGGGUGCUUUGUCCUGAUGCCUCAAGCACCAGAGACUUUCGUAAUUAGCUCUUCUUCGUCUACAGCCCAUCGGACUAGGUCUCAUCCUCCGUUGUGUCUGCAGCACCUAGCCCAGGCCCUGGCACAUAGCAGGUCCUCACCGCACUUAAUAAAUGGGACUGAUCUAACCUUCCACACCUUUGCCACCUGCGCACCAUACCUCUGCGGCUUUUCCCUGGGGCUCUUCUUGGUGAUGCAUUUGACACGUCUGGUCAAGGGAGCUGUGGGUUUCUAGGGGUCUCCUGCUUGCUUCCUGUCUGUCAUUCUGCGGCUCAACAUCGCCAUGUGUGACAAGGCGUUUGGAAAUACAUUCUGCGGGGCUGUAGAUCAAGUUAAGGUUCUGGAGGCAACAGGAAUCCCGGCUGCUGGUGGGUUAACCCACGAGGGUUGGCAGAUGGCCACCUCCGUCCCUUCCUGUCCUUUGGGAAUUUCAAGGAUGCGUAAAUCUAUCCUUGUCCCCCUAGAGCUUAGCUUGAGGGGUCUGGGGGUAGAAGAUCGAACUAACACAAAGGCGAUUCGAGAAUGAAGACCACGAAUGGCGUGUACUAUUUGUUUAACACCUACUACGUGUGGGGCACUUAGGAGUUACCAUGUCUCUCGUCGAUAGGGACCUUGCAAUUUGUGAACUGGCACCAUUUUUAGGCUACAGAAUUGAAAUAAGGGAGCUGCCUUAUAUAUCAGGGUGUAGAAGCUUCUGGGACCAGGAGGGGCAAUCAGACCUUGUCAAGGAAAGACCACACAGCUUACUCCGUACCAAGUUGCCAUUGCAGGGGCCUCCUCUGCUGACUGCCUGGGGGCUUUCUGCCUGGUCCUGGCUGCCUUGAGUCCUCUCCCUCCCUCAGACCCCCAAGCAGCAGAGCUGGUGGGACAGGGCCCUCAG